UACAGAGGGUGCGAGCGUUAAUCGGAAUUACUGGGCGUAAAGGGCGCGUAGGCGGUUGAUUAAGUUGGAUGUGAAAUCCCUGGGCUUAACCUAGGAACUGCAUUCAAUACUGAAUGACUAGAGUGCUGUAGAGGAUAGUGGAAUUUCCGGUGUAGCGGUGAAAUGCGUAGAUAUCGGAAGGAACACCAGUGGCGAAGGCGGCUAUCUGGACAGACACUGACGCUGAGGCGCGAAAGCGUGGGGAGCAAACAGG
rnacentral:rRNA from 1 species